ensembl:rRNA 5S_rRNA 5S ribosomal RNA
GUCUACAGACAUGCCACCCUGAACAAGCCCGAUCCCAUCUGAUCUCGGAAGCUAAGCGGGGUCGGGCCUGGUUAGUACUUGGAUAUGAGACCACCUCGGAAGACCAGGUACUGUAGCCG